UAACCACGACGAUUCAGGUCUCGCCUUCAGAAAUGGAAAACAUCCUCAUGAGUCAUCCAGGAGUAGGAGACGUCGCUGUUACCGGCAUCCCAGAUCCAGACAACGAAGGAUACGAACUAAUCCGAGCUUUCGUCGUCCGUAAAACAGACCCAUUAUCUGCAGAAGACCUUAUCGAGUUUGUGAAAGAGAAGACACCGAGAAAGUACGUCACAUUAACAGGAUGUGUUCGCUUCCUGAAAAACAUUCCGAAGAAUUUAACCGGUAAAAACAUGCGCAGCGAACUACAAGCUCAGGCAUACGAAUAACUAUUCAGACGCGCAAGGACGGGUCAAGCAAAACAAUAAUAGAAACGCAAUUAACUCAUCCGAGACGAUACAAGAUGCGUGGCGUGGGAUUGUUGGUCUCGUCGUCGGAUUUACUUGAUGUUUUGACUGUUACACUGGAAAUAAUUCUGUAUGAAUCUCACAGUUUUGCUGCUCGCACAUCAAACAGCUACUGUCGAGGUCAACCCUACGCAACAUAGAAUUUCACGAGAUACAAGUAAACUUAGAGCUUGUUUUUACCAAAUACGUGGCACAGUCCUAACUAUGCCAUUGCAUGUAUUCUGUGCACAUACUACAGUAAAAAAAUCAAUCAUAA